CCUGUGCUCACUCCUCUCACCCAGUGGCCAGCAGCUCUUCUGAGCUACCAGAGCCCAGGUCCACAGAGACGGCCAGAGGGUCUUUCUCCUUCACCCACAUCACUGAAUGCACGCGCCUGAGUGAGAAGUAUGGGCUAUAAGCCCCACAUCCCUGCUGCCUGGAAGUCAGUACUCUGCUAGCAGCCUUCAGAUGAAGAUGUAGAAUUCUCUGCUCCUCCUGCACCAUGUCUGCCUGGAUGCUGUCAUGUUCCUACCUUGAUGAUAAUGGACUGAACCUCUGAACCUGUAAGCCAGCCCCAAUUAAAUGUUGUCCUUAUAAGA
rnacentral:lncRNA from 1 species